UAUAUUUUAAUACAUAUCAGUAGUAAUAUUGUACUUUUUUAUGUUUUAUUUAAUUUUCUUCGAGGUGACAGUAUAUUUCUGUACGUUAACUUUUUUUUUUGUAUUAAGUUAAAAUUAAAAAAAAAGUAAUAUUUUAAUAUAUUUUUAUUUCUUUGUAAUUAUUUGUGGUUCAUAAAUUGUAAUAUCAAAAUACGUUAUAACAAUCAAAAGAUGUACCUUGUCAACGAGAAUAUUUCGAAACAUUAUCUACAACUAUACGAUUGUAUCUGUAAUUUCAAAAACAUUUAAAAAAUUACUAUUAAUUAUCAUAAAGAUAAAAUAUUCAGAUAGUUUUGAUAAAUGCUUUACAACAUUUAGAUAACCUUAUCUAUUUAAUUUUAACCUUUAGAAUAAUUUACAUUUUAACAUGUACCGAAAAAAAUAUAGCAUGAGUCUACAUUACAUUUAAAAAAAUAUUUGACAACUGUCAACUAAGAAAGUUACUGGCUGGUAGUAUUUUUUUUGGCUGGUUAUUGUUUGAACCAAUAUCAUCAAUGGAUGAAUCACUAUUAAAUAAAGAAAAAAAACUGACAAUUACGUAAGUUACUGGUUGAUAAUAUUUUAUCCAACAUCACAAAUGUUGAACAAGCAUUCAUUAAAUUUAUAAACAUUAGUUUUCAUUUUAAAUUUAUACCAGUUUGCUUAAAAUAUUCACCCUUUCCCCUUUAAGUAAUAAUGACAUUCAUGUACCAACCCCUUUGUUUUUGUUAUAAAGCAUAUAUCAUCUGUACAAGUUGACACAUUGGACGGCUAUUGUAGGUUUUAAGUAGAUACUGAACACAUAAACCACAUAACAAAAGUUAUACAAAAUUACAUUAAUUUUCAUAAUUUUAUAAAACCUGAUAACCAAUUAACAUUUGUAUUUAGCAGUUCAAUUAAAAUUUUUACAAAACUAUUUCCAUCUCUUUCUCCUAUUAAAUCUAUUUCAUAGUUUGUCAAGCGAGAAAGAGAUGAAAUUAUUUUUGUAAUUCAAUUUAUAACUACUUAAUUAUUCCGCUAUUGAUUAAACGUCAACUUAAUGCGUUAAUAACAGCCAUUUAUGAAACAAUUACUGCGACCUAAAAAUUAUAUCUCAAAGAUAAUGAGAUUACUUUCGCAAUACCAUAAAGAGAAGAAAAUUAUCCUAAAAUUAACUUCUUUAGUAUAAUGGCACUUGCUUAAAAAUACAGACAAAUACUUUUUAAUUGUGCGUCAUACGCAACUUAAAUCUAGGCCGUAUUUACAUUUUCUCCUUUGCCAUUAUUAAUUAUAGAUUAAAAAAAAGAAACAAACAAGGACAUUCGCUUUCAUAAUGUGUAUUUUUUUAAUUAAUUAAAGUAAACAUUUGACAUCCAUUCCAUUAAAAAUUGUGACAUUUUUAGGAUUUUUAUUUAUAUUUUUUUUUUUGCGGCAAAGGAAUGUAUUACAACGCCAUCACGUUUCAAACAAGCAUUACAUAGAAACUACUUUAACAAAAAACUUUUUACACGUUAACUUUAUUCAGCCGAAAUUAUUAUAUACUAUGUCGAUCUUGAUUACACAGACAUUACUAAUAAAAUUUUAGUAAAACAUAGACCAGAUAUCUCGUCGAAAUAAACUGACUAGAAUUGAAUAUAGUGGAUAAAACUUAAAAGCAUUUUAUAGUAUGUACUUCUAAUGAAUGCAUAAAAUAUUAAUAAUUUCGAGUGCGAAGCAAAUAAGAGCGCACGAUUGAGUGAAACAUGUAAGAUUUUUACCAUUUUUAAUGCACAAAUAAUAAAUGCUUUUUUUUUUCAUUUCUCAUCCAAAAAAAACUACGUAGUUGAUAUAUGCAACUUUGUUGAUUUAUUUAAGUAUUUAUUUAUAGAAAACGUAAUAAUAAAAGUUUAAUUGCAUUGUCUCACACCUAAAAUCCUAACAAAACAACGCCUUAUGUACAUCUCGAUGUAUCAAAAAAAGACCUUAUUCACAAUAGUUCAUAACAAUUUUUUUAAUCAUUUAGCUAACUCAGCAUUUCCGAUCGACAAAAUAUUCUUUUUAAACUGUGAUAAAUUUAAAAAGAUAACUUAUAAUUAACUUAAGCCUAUUUAGAGAUCCAUGCUAAAUGUCUCCUGCGAUUCGUCGAAGGAGAUGGAAUUAGAUCGUGGCUUUUGCACUGAUGUGGGAGUCUGUUGUGCAAGAGGGGGGUUCUUCAACAUGGCAGCGGGUAGAGAGCAGCUUGGAGGCGUUUUUGAGAUCGGCGAAUGACGUAACGACAUCAUAAAAGACCUUUCGUAAACUAUACGAGUGCCUGAAAAAAAGGGAAAAAAUAUUUUAAUAAAGUUUUAUAAAUUAUAGAGAUUUAUUUUUAAAAGGCUUCUUUUAAUGUUCACUUAUUUAUUAAGCAAAUAUAUGAUAGUCUAACUGUGUCUGCGACUUCGUCCGCGUUUUGGGUAUUUACAUGUUCAACGGGAUUAUUUAAAUUGGUGUAGCUUUUUUAUUUAUGAACCGAUUGACAUGCAACAAACAUUAAAUGUUAAGUGCAGCCUAUCAUAAUACAUUAGUGAAAACCACAUCGAAAUUGGAUAAGCCAUUCCAGAGAUUAGCGUACACAAACGCACAGACAAACAGACAAAAAUUCUAACAAUCAUUGUUUUAGCUAUUUGCGUUGAUGACAGGUCCCAAUAAUUUUUUUCUCAUAUAUCUUGCAUGUAAAGACAGCGAUCCCAAACACAAUUAUUAUAAUUAUGUAUUGAUAGACGUAUAUAUUAUAUAAUAUUUUAAAAAUUUUGAUUUGUACCAUAUGAUGCUGAUAUUUCAAAUAAAGUAAAAAAAAAAACAAUAAUUGAUAAAUAUACUAUAAGCUACUUUCAAAAAUAUUUACUUUAUACUGAGAGGUCUAGUUCUAGAAGUGUAAUAAAAAAAUACUCGAUAAACCUAUCUUGUUAAUAAAUUAAUAUUAUACAUUCAAAGAUAAUUCUUUAAUAAUCUAUAUUUGAUAGUUGGCUUCACUGGUGACAAGAAGGCUGAUGUAUUUUUUUACCCAGGGUUGCUACCAGCAUUCUUGGCACAAUUCCACGCGGACAUGAUUUGUACUAUAAACGUAAAUAGUUCUUAAAUUGUGAAUUGUAAAUAUGUAUAAUUUUUUUUUUCAAUAUUGUCAAUAUUUGAAAUUAUUAUAAUCACACAAAUUCCACGCGGUUCAUCUAGUAUUAUUAUGAAUUAAAAAUUAAUAAACAAAUAAUAAUUAUAAACAAGGAACUUGUAAACCUGUUAUCACGUUUAUAAUAAAUGUUGAUAAAAUUGAUUAACGUAUAAAACGGAUAUAAAUUGAAUAAAACUAGUUUUUGUUAUUAAUAAAAAUAAAAAUCAAUUUUAAAUAUUAAUAAUAUCAUAUGUUUUUCUUUGAGUACAUAUUAAAAUAUUGUUUAGAAACCUAAAUAUUGUCUUGUUUACGAGACCUUAAAUUCGUACAUGAGACGUGAACCAGGCGAUAAUAGAUUUCAAUAUGGAUUUAUAAAAAUGAUAUAUUUUAAUGAUGCAUUAAUCUGAACGCCAAAAUACAUAAAAAAUAUAGUAAUAAAAUAUUUUUUUCCAUUAAACCAGUUUACGCGUCUCAGCCAUUCAAUAAAUAUUUUAUGAGUUUUUAAUACAUCUGUGAAUGUGACUAAUGUAUACAUAAUGUAAAUACAAUAAUAUGGAAGUAGGUAUAAAUAUAUUUAUAUGUUUUAACAUCUGUGUUAUGGCUGAGUAACAAUGUAGAGUAAAUAAUUAAAUUAAAACACCAAAUGUCAUCUGUUUUCACUCUAAUUUCAAAUUUUGAACGAAGCAACCUACCUCUAUAAAAUUGUGUUUGACGAAAAAAGCCGACUUCAAUUAUAACGACAAGUAAUAACAACGUAGGUAUACGAAAAAAUAUUCAAAAAAAAUAUGUGGUGUCAUGGGACACCAGGUAGGAACGAAGUCUUUCGGAUAAUAUAGAAGCAACA
rnacentral:misc_RNA from 1 species